rfam:Feline infectious peritonitis virus isolate FCoVWST791146_P1, complete genome.
CAACCAACAUCAUAAAACUGAGUUAUAAGGCAACCCGAUGUCUAAAACUGGUCUUUCCGAGGAAUUACGGGUCAUCGCGCUGCCUACUCUUGUACAGAAUGGUAAGCACGUGUAAUAGGAGGUACAAGCAACCCUAUUGCAUAUUAGGAAGUUUAGAUUUGAUUUGGCAAUGCUAGAUUUAGUAAUUUAGAGAAGUUUAAAGAUCCGCUAUGACGAGCCAACAAUGGAAGAGCUAACGUCUGGAUCUAGUGAUUGUUUAAAAUGUAAAAUUGUUUGAAAAUUUUCCUUUUGAUAGUGAUACAC